AGAGAUUGUUCAUCAUGUCAGAGGGACCUCACCCUCUCACAGUUGUCACGAAUUAUUUACUUGUUCUCAACUAAUAUGCAUGAUGCUUCAUUGUCACUAGGCAUUCAUACGACUUGUGCUUGUCUGAUGUUAAAUCUGGUGGAACCAAUUUUUGAGAAGGGGGUUGAUCAGUCAUCAAUGGAUAUGG